CACGUAGGGGGCGAGCGUUGUCCGGAUUCAUUGGGCGUAAAGAGCUCGUAGGCGGCUCGGCAAGUCGGGUGUGAAACCUCCAGGCUCAACCUGGAGACGCCACUCGAUACUGCUGUGGCUAGAGUCCAGUAGGGGAGCGUGGAAUUCCUGGUGUAGCGGUGAAAUGCGCAGAUAUCAGGAGGAACACCAGCGGCGAAGGCGGCGCUCUGGGCUGGAACUGACGCUGAGGAGCGAAAGCGUGGGGAGCGAACAGG
rnacentral:rRNA from 1 species